GAGAGAUCAAGUGAGGAGAGAGUACUUUACAUUAUCACUUUGGCUUUAAAAAAUUGUUAAAAUGGGUAAAAUUGGAGGCCACAUGGAUGUUCCAAAUAAAUAAUUGAUGGAAUCAUGAAAAAGGGAAUUUUAUGAGAUCAAAAUAGAAUAUUAGGGAGUUUAAAGAGACAAAAUGAAGUUUAGGGGCAUUAAUAUGCACAGUAAUAAGUUCACAGUAAUUAGUUCAGGGAUGACGUGAAAUUAAUCGUCGAAGUUUAAUUACUCUUCUGUACUUAUCAGAGAAGUUCAAUUUAGUUAUUUUUAAUUUUUUUUGUCUAAUUUAGUCCAUAAAUUUUAAUUUAAGCUCAAUUUAGCCCAAA
rnacentral:misc_RNA from 1 species